rnacentral:rRNA from 1 species
UACGAAGGGGGCUAGCGUUGCUCGGAAUCACUGGGCGUAAAGCGCACGUAGGCGGCUUUCUAAGUCAGGGGUGAAAUCCUGGAGCUCAACUCCAGAACUGCCUUUGAUACUGGAGAGCUUGAGUCCGGAAGAGGUGAGUGGAACUCCGAGUGUAGAGGUGAAAUUCGUAGAUAUCAGGAGGAACACCAGUGGCGAAGGCGGCUUCCUGGACACCAACUGACGCUGAGACGCGAAAGCGUGGGGAGCAAACAGG